GUGGUCGUAUUGGAUGAGCUCUGGCGGUUGUGAAUGCUGAUUUUGGAUUUGUGAGUGUGUGUGUAACCCUUCUCUUGUCUGGUCAGAGGCCAGAGUCAUUAUAAAGGGAAGAUGGGGAGUUGCCCAGCAGCGUCCAGUUGGAGAGCUGCUUACUCAUCGUUCUUCUUCUACCGUUUCUCACUGUGAGGCAGAGGAAGAGUCUUACCGACAGGAAGCCUGUGGAAUGACAAGAUAAUGACACCGUCAUCACUCACAACUCGGGAGGAUCGGAGGCUUCAGGCACAAAAGUGCAGCUUCUGACGCCGCUUGAAGCUGACCUGGACAGAUUGAGUAAGAAGGGCAGUCUACCCACAGACAGCUAACCUUUACCUAAGUGAUGAGCUUGUUUUUAAAAGCUCAAAUCUUAAUAUGAAGCCUUUUGCGUUUCACCCAGAAGCUGGAGACUCACUGUGCUCCUAAUUUACAAAUGCAGUAAAUUCAAUGUCCCCAAGAGCGCUCUUACUACAUUAGGUGGGAAAGAAAUGUGAAUGAAAAUGAUGACAAAUAAAAAGGGGAGAUCUUAAGAGUCAUUAUCAUAGCUGUAAAAUAUUGGCA
rnacentral:lncRNA from 1 species